rnacentral:rRNA from 1 species
CAAUAGCGUAUAUUAAAGUUGUUGCAGUUAAAAAGCUCGUAGUUGGAUUUCUGGCAUGAUGCGCCUGGCCCGCUCCGAUUACGGAUGUGUGUGCUAGUGCGCGUCUGCCAUCCAUUUACAGAAUGUAUCUACCCUUCAUUGGGCCGGAUAUGUGAUGUAAAUCUUUUACUUUGAAAAAUUAGAGUGUUUAAAGCAGGCAUUUGCUAUGAAUACAUUAGCAUGGAAUAAUAAUCUAGGACUUCGGUUUUAUUUUUGUUUGGUUUCUUAAUACUGGAGUAAUGAUUGAUAGGGAGUAGUUGGGGGUGGCUAGUAUUUAGGGGUCCGAGAGGUGGAAAUUACUUGGUAGUUCUCUAAAGAACUAACUUAAUGCGAAAGACAUUCACCAAGGAUGUCUUCUUUAAUCAAGAACGAAAGUUAGGGGGAGUCGAAGACGAUUAGAUACCA